UACGUAGGCCCCGAGCGUUGUCCGGAUUUAUUGGGCGUAAAGCGAGCGCAGGUGGUUUAUUAAGUCUGGUGUAAAAGGCAGUGGCUCAACCAUUGUAUGCAUUGGAAACUGGUAGACUUGAGUGCAGGAGAGGAGAGUGGAAUUCCAUGUGUAGCGGUGAAAUGCGUAGAUAUAUGGAGGAACACCGGUGGCGAAAGCGGCUCUCUGGCCUGUAGCUGACACUGAGGCUCGAAAGCGUGGGGAGCAAACAGG
rnacentral:rRNA from 1 species